GGACAGAGCAGGGAAGGUCGAGAGCCUGUGAUUCUCGCCGCUGCCCUGGGAAAGGAAGACUGGCCGUCCCACACAGCUCUCCCCUGGAGAAAGCGUCCUGAGAAGAAAAUCUUUCCACUGAAGAAUUCCUGUGGACAAGCGUUUGGUGUGGCUUGCUACCCUGUAUUCACAUCUCUUGAGACUAUGACAGAUGGCAGGAGGUGGAGAAUAUGCCAGGUUGCAGUGAAAUAUGUGACACUCAGCUGACAGCUCUGAGCAAGCUCUGAAAUUAUAAUAUACUUGGUUUGUCUUUCCAAGAAGCUAAUAGAAGCUUGAGGUGUUGAUUGCUAAUGAACAUCUUGCACUCCAAAUACCUUCAAGCAU